rnacentral:rRNA from 1 species
UACGUAGGGUGCGAGCGUUAAUCGGAAUUAUUGGGCGUAAAGCGUGCGCAGGCGGCUUUGCAAGACAGAUGUGAAAUCCCCGGGCUCAACCUGGGAACUGCAUUUGUGACUGCAAGGCUGGAGUACGGUAGAGGGGGAUGGAAUUCCGCGUGUAGCAGUGAAAUGCGUAGAUAUGCGGAGGAACACCGAUGGCGAAGGCAAUCCCCUGGACCUGUACUGACGCUCAUGCACGAAAGCGUGGGGAGCAAACAGG